rnacentral:lncRNA from 1 species
CUGGGUCUUAAGUAUUUAAAACGGUAUCUUUUUUAAUCCUUUUAUUAACACGGCCGAUUAACCUGUUGUUUUUGCAGAGCCUUGGGAUUUUUUUGCUAGACAUCCACGCAGCCGGCCUUUUUGCUGUUAAAUAGUCCAAGUGUUUGAAAACUGAAGGUUGUUGCUGGACUCAGGUCACCUCAUUUAGGACGGCGAUGGGCCUUUUUUUAAAAAUUGGGGCGGGGUGGGGGUGGGUGGCUGACUUGAGUUUCACCGACCUGCUCUGCGGCAGGCGACACCAUGGAAGCGGCAGAGGUUCUGGCGGCCACCCGGUUCCCGAAUUGCCCGGAGCGGAGCAUUCCCUGCAUUUGGGGUUCCAAGAAGGGCGAGGUGUCAUCGUAGGGUGCUGGUCCCGGGCGCCGAGGCGGCCGACGCAUCUGUCUUCCCUGGGUGCCCAGGCGCCCCUCGCGCGCUUCCCACAAUCCCUCGCGUCGGGCCCAUGCCGCGACCCCGGAGAGCCCCGCGGCGGAGCGGCCGGCCUCGGUGGCUGUCGGACUCUGUCCGGAAAGUCGCGAACGCGUCCGUCGCCUCCGCUCGCACAACGCCGGUUCGGCCAUUUCCGGCCCGGCGCACUUCGGCAAGUUCCGUACUCGCCUGUCGGAAAUGGCUGCCCGCCGGCAGGGGGAGCCGAGGAUCCGGCGCGGCCUGGGAGGCGCGCGGCUGGCCGCCAGAGCGGCUUCUGGGAAGCCGAGUUUCGCACAGGCGGCGGCGGCGGCGGCUCGUCCCUGAACUGGAAGCCGAUCAGGAGAACAAGCCUUGGCAUUCACUAUUUCAAGAAAUUAUGAACUGAAGUAUAAAAUUGCAUAAGCCAGAGAAAGGAAGAAUGCUGACACAUAUGGCCUGAUAGUUGGCAACGAUGUCGAUAAGAGGCUGGCAUUUGAAAUUGCCAGCUGUCUAGCCAGCUACUAUAUAACUUGAAUAGAAACUAUGAAUAUUGGUUGGUUAGCAAAGCCAAGGAACAAAAGCUAUGGCAGCUGAAGUGGUUGUUCUGAUUCCAGGAUAUUUUUCCUGGGUUUCAUCACCAGAAACUGCCUCUUCAUCUGAGCAGCAACGUGGCACCUGUUAUUGUUUGACAAAGAUUAAGGACAUGUUCUUCAGCCAACAGCCAGAACUUAAAAUCUGCUGGGAUAGAAUUAGAGACCAUUUCAUUCAUAGCUGAGGAAAAUGAAAUUUCCACUUUACCUGGUGCCUUGUGGAGGGAGUGCACUAAUGCUUCCAGGAACGUGUGAGUGAAAAAGAGGUUCAACACAAACUCAUGGUUAUGGCGAGUGACCCAACGUGAUCAGAGGGG